ensembl:lncRNA
AACAAAGUUUUGGUUUUUGGUGUAUGAAUCAGUUUGUAAUUUUAUUGCAGGAAACAAGCAAUGGAGACUGAGCUACUGAAAAGCAAGAACGAACUAAUGACACUGAACAACCAACUUUUGGAAGCGGAUCAGAGUCGACUAGAACUGUCCAUAGAGCUGGAGGCCUGGAAAGUUCACACAUCUCGCAGGCCGUUCCGUGGAAGCCCUCAUUACAGAGACACUCCCCAUUGCCAAACAACCCAUCCUUGCAUUGACCGUUGUUGGAGCACCAGUUAUCCACACUCCCAGGACAUUUGGAGCAAUCAUGCCCAAAGUAUCCUGGACAGCAGGAAUGGUCCUAAGAAGAAAGUUAUCAUGAGGUUUGAAUCUGAAUCCGCUUUGAAUCUGAAUUUAGCGUAAACCCACUACCAGUACAUAAUUGCAGGAAUUUCUAGCUGUGCAAUCUUGAUUUCACGCAUGUUCAGAGUGCAAGAAUGGCUUGCAUUUUCACUGUUACCACAAGUGGGCGCUGUAGCAGAGACUAGUAUAUACUCUUCUUAUAUAGUUAGUUUUCCUUUUCAGGUCAACAACUGUCAAGACCGAGGAACAGUUCAAAAGAUAUCUUGAGGAACAAGUAUCAACAUGUUUAUAGC